CAUUUUAAGAACCCUAUGUGCAUUACAUUCAUGGCUUCAGUAAACAAUGUAAUUGCAGGUCUAUGUAACAAGCAGGAAUGUUGACGGUUGGUAUAAUAUAAUCAAUGUAAGCCUACAAUACAUGCAUGGAUGACCCUAAUGGAUGACUGAGACAACAUUAUACCAAAGUAACUAACCAUCAUCCUGUUUAAAAUUAUCAUAGACGAGCAAGCAAUUCCACCACCUGCAAACCUACAGUUCCACCACCUGCAAAAUCCCAAAUAAUUGAAUUAGGUAUUUACAUUUGACUAUAGUAGUAUAGAUAGUCCAUUCAUUUUGUUCUCUCUUCGAAGCCCUGUGGUUACAGAGCUACUCUGUGUCCCUCUCACCAUACACACUUCUGGGUAAAACCAUGCAUCAGGCCUGCAGCUGCAGAGCUGGAGGUCAUGUGGUCCAUGGCCACACAAUUGAAUCCUCUGAAGGGUAUUCUCCAUAGCAUGUGUGCAACUGGCAUGCAUGGGGUUCCAUAUUGGAAUCAGAAGCAGGGUUGGGGAGUAAUGGAUUACUGUAAUCCAUUACAUUACCAGCAAAAAUAUUGUAAUCAGAUUGCAGAUACUUUUGAAAAACUAGAGUAUUACUUCGAGCAUUACUUUUAAAUUCAGAAUGGAUGUUUGUGGACCAAAAUCUUUGACACUUCUCUGUUUUCUCAAUGACAUUAAAUUAACAUAGAAAAAAGCGCAAAUUUAAGUUUGUUCCACCUGAGCGUGUUUGACCACAAGUCAGAGACCGCUAUGAUGACACACCAAAUGUGUUUGAUGGAUCGCGGGAAAAGAGCAGAAAUAGGCUUUUGUAGGCUACAGUCCAAAUGAUGUCUUCCAAUGGUGCGACUGCAGUCGGCAUCCAAAGAUGAUCCAAUUUGAAUAAACGUUUGGAGGACCUGAGCCCUAGGACCAUGCCUCAGGACUACCUGGCAUGAUGACUCCUUGUUGUCCACAGUCCACCUGGCCGUGCUGCUGCUCCAGUUUCAACUGUUCUGCCUGCGGCUAUGGAACCCUGACCUGUGCACUGUGAUUACAAUUAUUUGACCAUGCUGGUCAUUUAUGAACAUUUGAACAUCUUGGCCAUGUUCUGCUAUAAUCUCCACCCGGCACAGCCAGAAGAGGACUGGCCACCCCUCAUAGCCUGGUUCCUCUUUAGGUUUCUUCCUAGGUUUUGGCCUUUCUAGGGAGUUUUCCCUAGCCACCGUGCUUCUACACCUGCAUUGCUUGCUGUUUGUGGUUUUAGGCUGGGUUUCUGUACAGCACUUUGAUAUAUCAGCUGAUGUAAAAAAAUUGAUUUGAUUUUGAUUUAUACCACCUACAUGAUCAAAACCUUGUGUAGUAUGUCUCCACACAAUGUAGGCCAGUGGCCUGGUAAGAAAGUCGAAAUCAGUCUCUCUCUCUAACACAAGCACACCCUCUUGAUUUGUCUUUCUCUCCCCUUUCACUAUCUAAGCUAAUUGAAUUAUACCAGGUCUCCUCAGGUUCGGGCAUCUGUGGGGGGGACCGGGUUUCCCAUGACCCACUUCUCUCACAUUCUAUUAGAGGCAGGAGGGUUGGCAUUGCCGCGAGGUCAGCCGGUGUAUUCCAGUUCCUCAGCAGUUUGGAAAGAGAGAGACAUUCCUUAGACUAUUUAGGCUAACAACAGACGAGAGAGAGAAUCUGGCAUGGGUUUUAGAAAGGUAACACUGCAACCAGACAGUGUGGGUCGGCAAUGGUCAAAGUAUCACUACAAUAGUAUACAAUAGUAUAAUAUUUGGUUUUCUGUUGUGAAAAUGUCUGAGAUUACUAAAAUGAACAUAGAGACAAUUUCCAACUUUGACCACAAGAUGGAGCCCAAUAUCUUCUAUAUUGAAUCUUCAAGCCAAGCUGCAAUGCAUGUCCUUUUCAUGUAUGAAACAUCUCAAUAAAACAUCAGACACCUUAUCUGAAACAGAGGAGGCAGAGUGUGUGAUUACACAUGGGAUAUGAUGACAUUAAAACAGACAGUGGGAGUGAAUGAGCUGACCGGAUAGAGGUGCUGAUUCAGCCACACCAUGUUAUGUUUGAUAUUCACAGUGAAACCCUCC
rnacentral:lncRNA from 1 species